GACGAACGCUGGCGGCGUGCUUAACACAUGCAAGUCGAACGGAAAGGCCCUGCUUUUGUGGGGUGCUCGAGUGGCGAACGGGUGAGUAACACGUGAGUAACCUGCCCUUGACUUUGGGAUAACUUCAGGAAACUGGGGCUAAUACCGGAUAGGAGCUCCUGCUGCAUGGUGGGGGUUGGAAAGUUUCGGCGGUUGGGGAUGGACUCGCGGCUUAUCAGCUUGUUGGUGGGGUAGUGGCUUACCAAGGCUUUGACGGGUAGCCGGCCUGAGAGGGUGACCGGCCACAUUGGGACUGAGAUACGGCCCAGACUCCUACGGGAGGCAGCAGUGGGGAAUAUUGCACAAUGGGCGGAAGCCUGAUGCAGCAACGCCGCGUGCGGGAUGACGGCCUUCGGGUUGUAAACCGCUUUCGCCUGUGACGAAGCGUGAGUGACGGUAAUGGGUAAAGAAGCACCGGCUAACCACGUGCCAGCAGCCGCGGUGAUACGUAGGGUGCGAGCGUUGUCCGGAUUUAUUGGGCGUAAAGGGCUCGUAGGUGGUUGAUCGCGUCGGAAGUGUAAUCUUGGGGCUUAACCCUGAGCGUGCUUUCGAUACGGGUUGACUUGAGGAAGGUAGGGGAGAAUGGAAUUCCUGGUGGAGCGGUGGAAUGCGCAGAUAUCAGGAGGAACACCAGUGGCGAAGGCGGUUCUCUGGGCCUUUCCUGACGCUGAGGAGCGAAAGCGUGGGGAGCGAACAGGCUUAGAUACCCUGGUAGUCCACGCUGUAAACGGUGGGUACUAGGUGUGGGGUCCAUUCCACGGGUUCCGUGCCGUAGCUAACGCUUUAAGUACCCCGCCUGGGGAGUACGGCCGCAAGGCUAAAACUCAAAGGAAUUGACGGGGCCCCGCACAAGCGGCGGAGCAUGCGGAUUAAUUCGAUGCAACGCGUAGAACCUUACCUGGGUUUGACAUGGAUCGGGAGCGCUCAGAGAUGGGUGUGCCUCUUUUGGGGUCGGUUCACAGGUGGUGCAUGGCUGUCGUCAGCUCGUGUCGUGAGAUGUUGGGUUAAGUCCCGCAACGAGCGCAACCCUUGUUCACUGUUGCCAGCACGUUAUGGUGGGGACUCAGUGGAGACCGCCGGGGUCAACUCGGAGGAAGGUGGGGAUGACGUCAAGUCAUCAUGCCCCUUAUGUCCAGGGCUUCACGCAUGCUACAAUGGCUGGUACAGAGAGUGGCGAGCCUGUGAGGGUGAGCGAAUCUCGGAAAGCCGGUCUCAGUUCGGAUUGGGGUCUGCAACUCGACCUCAUGAAGUCGGAGCCGCUAGUAAUCGCAGAUCAGCAACGCUGCGGUGAAUACGUUCCCGGG
rnacentral:rRNA from 1 species